rnacentral:rRNA from 1 species
UACAGAGGUCUCAAGCGUUGUUCGGAUUCAUUGGGCGUAAAGGGUGUGUAGGUGGCGCCGUAAGUCGGGUGUGAAAUCUCGGGGCUUAACUCCGAAACUGCAUUCGAUACUGCGGUGCUUGAGGACUGGAGAGGAGACUGGAAUUCAUGGUGUAGCAGUGAAAUGCGUAGAGAUCAUGAGGAAGACCAGUGGCGAAGGCGGGUCUCUGGGCCUUACCUGACGCUGAGGAGCGAAAGCGUGGGGAGCGAACAGG